rnacentral:snoRNA from 1 species
AAGACUAUACUUUCAGGGAUCAUUUCUAUAGUUUUUAAACUUAGAAAGUUGUUCUGAAAGUGUUACAUCUCUCUACCCACGAUGAUGAGUCAUGAUACUUCUUUCUGAGUGUGAAUCUGAUGGAGAGUAAUGAAUAAACUCAUCUGUUCUCUGUUGUUGAUGAGCGUUCCUGCUGAGCUCCAACAUCGGGUAUAAAGAGAAGCCUCUUCAGAGAAGC